rnacentral:rRNA from 1 species
AUUGAACGCUGGCGGCAGGCCUAACACAUGCAAGUCGAACGAGUGGCGGACGGGUGAGUAAUGUCUGGGAAACUGCCUGAUGGAGGGGGAUAACUACUGGAAACGGUAGCUAAUACCGCCUACCAUCGGAUGUGCCCAGAUGGGAUUAGCUAGUAGGAGGGGUAACGGCUCACCAAGGCGACGAUCCCUAGCUGGCCUGAGAGGAUGACCGGCAAACCUGGAACUGAGACACGGCCCAGACUCCUACGGGAGGCAGCAGUGGGGAAUAUUGCACAAUGGGCGCAAGCCUGAUGCAGCAAUGCCGCGUGUAUGAAGAAGGCCUUCGGGUUGUAAAGUACUUUCAGCGGGGAGGCGUUACCCGCAGAAGAAGCACCGGCUAACUCCGUGCCAGCAGCCGCGGUAAUAC